rnacentral:rRNA from 1 species
GCAGUCUGCAACUCGACUGCAUGAAGCUGGAAUCGCUAGUAAUCGCGAAUCAGAAUGUCGCGGUGAAUACGUUCCCGGGCCUUGUACACACCGCCCGUCACACCAUGGGAGUUGGAAGCACCCGAAGUCGGUGACCUGACCGCAAGGGAGGAGCCGCCGAAGGUGAAGCCAGCGACUGGGGUGAAGUCGUAACAAGGUAAC